GAGAAACCCGCCGCCGUAGCCGCCGCUCCAGUCUCCAAUUCUCCGUCGCUAUGUCGAGGAAGAAGGUGCGAGAGCCCAAGGAGGAGAAUGUCACGCUCGGUCCGACCCUGAAAGAUGGCGAGCAUGCGUUUGGUGUAGCUCACAUCUUCGCGUCGUUUAACGAUACCUUCAUCCAUGUCACUGAUCUGUCUGGAAGGGAAACUCUUGUACGCAUCACGGGUGGGAUGAAGGUUAAAGCUGA
rnacentral:misc_RNA from 1 species